GAUGAACGCUAGCGGGAGGCCUAACACAUGCAAGCCGAGCGGUAUAGAAUCUUCGGAUUUUAGAGAGCGGCGUACGGUGCGGAACACGUGUGCAACUUACCUUUAUCUGGAGGAUAGCCUUUCGAAGGAAGAUUAAUACUCCAUAAUAUAUUGAUUGGCAUCAAUUAAUAUUGAAAGCUCCGGCGGAUAGAGAUGGGCACGCGCAAGAUUAGUUAGUGGUGAGGUAACGGCUCACCAAGACGAUGAUCUUUAGGGGCCUGAGAGGUGAGUCCCCCACACUGGUACUGAGACACGGACCAGACUCCUACGGGAGGCAGCAGUGA
rnacentral:rRNA from 1 species